rnacentral:rRNA from 1 species
CGCGUAGGUGGUCUGUUAAGUCAGAUGUGAAAUGUAAGGGCUCAACCCUUAACGUGCAUCUGAUACUGGCAGACUUGAGUGCGGAAGAGGCAAGUGGAAUUCCUAGUGUAGCGGUGAAACGCGUAGAUAUUAGGAGGAACACCAGUGGCGAAGGCGACUUGCUGGGCCGUAACUGACGCUGAGGCGCGAAAGCGUGGGAGCAAACA